rnacentral:tRNA from 1 species
GGAGAGAUGCCAGAGAGGCCGAUUGGGCACGACUGGAAAUCGUGUGUCCCUGCAAGGGGACCGUGGGUUCGAAUCCCACUCUCUCCGCCA